AUUGAACGCUGGCGGCAGGCUUAACACAUGCAAGUCGAGCGAGCGGCGGACGGGUGAGUAAUGUCUGGGAAACUGCCUGAUGGAGGGGGAUAACUACUGGAAACGGUAGCUAAUACCGCAUACCAGCGGAUGGGCCCAGAUGGGAUUAGCUAGGAGGUGGGGUAAAGGCUCACCUAGGCGACGAACCCUAGCUGGUCUGAGAGGAUGACCAGCCACACUGGAACUGAGACACGGUCCAGACUCCUACGGGGGGCAGCAGUGGGGAAUGUUGCACAAUGGGGGCAAGCCUGAUGCAGCCGUGCCGCGUGUAUGAAGCAGACCUUCGGGUUGUAAAGUACUUUCAGCGGGGAGGCGUUACCCGCCGAAGAGGCACCGGCUAACUCCGUGCCAGCAGCCGCGGUGAUAC
rnacentral:rRNA from 1 species